rnacentral:rRNA from 1 species
GACGAACGCUGGCGGCGUGCUUAACACAUGCAAGUCGAACGGAAAGGCCCUGCUUUUGUGGGGUGCUCGAGUGGCGAACGGGUGAGUAACACGUGAGUAACCUGCCCUUGACUUUGGGAUAACUUCAGGGAACUGGGGCUAAUACCGGAUAGGAGCUCCUGCUGCAUGGUGGGGGUUGGAAAGUUUCGGCGGUUGGGGAUGGAUUCGCGGCUUAUCAGCUUGUUGGUGGGGUAGUGGCUUACCAAGGCUUUGACGGGUAGCCGGCCUGAGAGGGUGACCGGCCACCUUGGGACUGAGGUACGGCCCAGACUCCUACGGGGGGCAGCAGUGGAGAAUGUUGCACAAUGGGCGGGAGCCUGAUGCAGCAACGCCGCGUGCGGGAUGACGGCCUUCGGGUUGUAAACCGCUUUCGCCUGUGACGAAGCGUGAGUGACGGUACUGGGUAAAGAAGCACCGGCUAACUACGUG